rnacentral:lncRNA from 1 species
CCAGGUCACCCUGGGACUCUGUGGCUGGAACACCAUUCCUCUAGGUGUCGACAUCGGUUUUCACCAGCUGCAUGCUAGCUAUUCCUGAUGUCUGUAAAGCGGGUAGAUCACUCUCAACACUCUUCCAUCUAUGAUCUCACUGUAUCCUUGCCAUGAUUGGGUGCUCUCCCAAUUUAACAAAUAUGUAAACACGGUCCCAGAGAGCCCAAGUGACUUGUCUAAAGUCACACAGCCAGGAGCUGAGCUGGGACAAUAAUCCAGACAUGUUGCUUCUCAAUGGCUUUCACUUCCUAAUCCCAUAGACUGUGACUCUCAAGAACUACAUGUUGCCUCCAAAGUCCUCUGUCUCACAUGAACAUGAGAAAGCCGGGACAGGAGGGGCUUUCUGACACUCCAUGGAACCUUCUCAAGCAGACAGUGAGCAACACGUGUGUCUAUACCAUAUAGUCCAGCUUCAAUCAAUGGUCUCCUUGCUCCAGUUACUCAGUUGAGCUGCAGAAACUUCUGGUUGGUCUGUGAUUGAUGGAAAGGCCUGAUUCUGUGCAGAUGUAAUUCUUCUAAAAACAGGAGGUGCCCUCCAGGCACAAAUGUCUAGGAAACCAUGAAAAUAAAAAGGCAGCACUGAUUCCAAAGUCUUGUUGACCAAACUUUUAAGAUAG